rnacentral:misc_RNA from 1 species
GUAAUGUUUCCUCCAUAGUAACUUCUUCAUCUCUCAUGUUUUGAAUGGAUGUUUGCAAGAUUAUAAGAUCUUUGUUUUUGUUUGGAUGAUGUUGGUCGGGAUCGAGUUUUGAUGACUUCACUUGUUAUUUAUCUAUUCUUAAAGGAUAUCUCGAUCUAGUUUCAACAUAUGGUUAUCGGUCUGAGUUUGUCAUCUGCUUGUUUCCAUGUUCAAGUUUGCUAGUUCGUUA